GAUGAACGCUAGCGGGAGGCCUAACACAUGCAAGCCGAGCGGUAUUGUUUCUUCGGAAAUGAGAGAGCGGCGUACGGGUGCGUAACACGUGUGCAACCUGCCUUUGUCUGGGGGAUAGCCUUUCGAAAGGAAGAUUAAUACCCCAUAAUAUAUUGAACGGCAUCGUUUAAUAUUGAAAGCUCCGGCGGAUAGAGAUGGGCACGCGCAAGAUUAGCUAGUUGGUGAGGUAACGGCGCACCAAGGCGAUGAUCUUUAGGGGGCCUGAGUGGGUGAUCCCCCACACUGGUACUGAGACACGGACCAGACUCCUACGGGAGGCAGCAGUGAGGAAUAUUGGUCAAUGGGUGCAAGCCUGAACCAGCCAUCCCGCGUGAAGGACGACUGCCCUAUGGGUUGUAAACUUCUUUUGUAUAGGGAUAAACCUACCCUCGUGAGGGUAGCUGAAGGUACUAUACGAAUAAGCACCGGCUAACUCCGUGCCAGCCGCCGCAGUAA
rnacentral:rRNA from 1 species